rnacentral:rRNA from 1 species
UGGAUGAGCCCGCGGCCUAUCAGCUUGUUGGUGGGGUGAUGGCCUACCAAGGCUAUGACGGGUAGCCGGCCUGAGAGGGUGACCGGCCACACUGGGACUGAGACACGGCCCAGACUCCUACGGGAGGCAGCAGUGGGGAAUAUUGCACAAUGGGCGGAAGCCUGAUGCAGCGACGCCGCGUGAGGGAUGACGGCCUUCGGAUUGUAAACCUCUUCCCCCGGGACCAAGCACAAAUCCUAUUCUUUCUCGGCCUGCACCGAGCCUACCCGAUAUGAA